rnacentral:rRNA from 1 species
UACGUAGGGUGCAAGCGUUAAUCGGAAUUACUGGGCGUAAAGCGUGCGCAGGCGGUGAUGUAAGACAGGUGUGAAAUCCCCGGGCUUAACCUGGGAACUGCAUUUGUGACUGCAUCGCUGGAGUGCGGCAGAGGGGGAUGGAAUUCCGCGUGUAGCAGUGAAAUGCGUAGAUAUGCGGAGGAACACCGAUGGCGAAGGCGGCCUGCUGGGCUAUGGCUGACACUGAGGCGCGACAGCGUGGGGAGCAAACAGG